GUUGGUCGAAAAUACUCAUAUUCUUCAAUUUAACCAGUAGAGACUCUAUUGAAAUCUCCGGGGGAUCCUCAUACAAGUCGAAGUGGUAUUUCCGCAUCCCAGGGAUAUAUAAGAUGCUGUAUGUGGAUAACGCUGACCUGUUCUGACUACAAACGCCUCUCAGCACUCGGGAGGAGGUUAUCAAGAAGCAGUGGUGUCCUCAUCGGUCGUCUUCCAUUAGGUCUACUUUGGCUCAAACAGUGACGGAUGGUGUGAACUAACACUGAUGGACCUUGACCUUGGAAGUUCACCUGUAAUAUCUUUGGGCUCUUUGGUCACCAUUCAUAUUAUCCAUCUCUUUUUCUCUUGCAGCCACGUCCAGGGAGGUUGGCUACAGUCCUGUUGACCUUAAACUUCUACAUAAUAUGUGCAACUGUAGUCACAGGAACAUCAAGCUGCUUGGAGAUGGUCUUAUAGCCUUUACCUUAAACAUGCUUGUCUAUUAUUUUCUUUCUAAUCUCCUGAGACAACUCCCUCUUUAGCUUUCUGUGGUCCAUGUUCAAUGUGGUACACACCAUAAUAACAAACAGGACAGUGCCUACUUUUCACCCUAUAAAUAGACGACUGGCUGAUUACAAGUUUUAAGACACCUGUGACGCUACAUGCAGGACACACCUUUAAUUUAUCAUGUCCCUAUUGACAAAUAAUUCCUAUCGUUUCUAGGGGACCAUCAUUUUUGUCCAGACCAGUUUAAUUUCUUUUUCAUUUUUUUUUUUUUG